UGUUUCCUACACAGGACACGUCUGCCUCUCAGUGUGCACAGUGAAAAGCUGGCCAGCUGGUCUCACCAUUAGCUCUGAGCUCACAGCAGGCAGAUCUGUGUCCCCUCACCUUGCAGAACCACCUGCCAUCACAUUCCUGGAGCUCCACAGAAGACACUGCCCUGCUCAUUGCUGAGAGAUGCUUCACAUCAGGAAUCGAAGUCAAUGGAAGAAGAGGAAUGCUGUCCAAGAAGAUGAAGCAGUAUGUGGACAGAUUUCAGAAAGCACUGUUUGAAAGACUUGGUCACAAUCUGGAACCCUGCUGUGCUAGAAGCUGUAUUGACACUGGACAAAAAGGUAGCACUGCUAUGAAGUGCUUUCAGUUUUCCCACAA
rnacentral:lncRNA from 12 species